CCAAGGUUGAUGCAGGCCAGCCUUCCGCAUCUGGCAGCAGACAGCGCCAGCUGCUUCAAAGGAGGGGACAAGAAGUUUCACAGCUAGUGGCAAUUUGAAAAUUAUCCUUUUGAGAAAUUUCCUCCUGACUUCCACGAGUGGAAAAUUCAUCUAUGCCUGGAGGCAGAAAGGAGUGCAUUGCUGUGGAGGAAGGCAGGCUUUGAAUUCAGACUGACUGAAUAGUUCAGUGUGAGAACAUUCAUCUGCCUCUGAAAGAGCCAUAAAGUGUGAUGAUGACAGUGAUGGAAACUGAGCUGCAUAACUUGGUGGACAUCAGAACUUAUGAAUUGAAUUUUAACUGUUGAGACUCAUUAUCAAUGUGGAGAAAAAAAAAAAUAAGAGACUGAUCUCAAACUCAGAAAAUCCUAUCGCUGGGAAAAAAAUAUUUUGUGGAGGGCUACCUGGUUGGAAGAGACCCUUCAGAUCAUCAAGCCCAACCAUCCACCAAACUACCAUGUCUACCACUAAACCAUGUCCCCAGACACCAUAUGAGUACUUUUCCUAAAUACCUCCAGGGUUGGCAACUCCACCACUCUGCACAGUCUGUUCCAAUACCUUUGUUGAAUUCCAUACAUUUGGACAUAGUCCAUCAAUCUAUUCUAUCCAGAUCCUCUACAAAGCUUUUCUGCCCCCAAGCAAAUCGGUACACUCAUCCAACUUCGUCUCAUGUGAAAACAUACUGUGGAUACACUCAAUCCCUUCAUCAAUAUUUUUGAUAAAAAUAUUAAACCAAACUUACCCCAAAACUGAGACCUGGGUAAUGCCACUUAUUACUGGCUGCCAGCUGGAUUUAUCUCCAUUGAAAAUGACCCUUGGGGCCUGGUCAUACAGCCACGUUCUUACCCAGUGCGCACUACAUUCAUCCAAGAUAUAAGUAGAAAGGGAAGGCUGCUGGAAACAACAUUCACAUUUCCUUUUGUCCACUAAGUGGGUCAUGUCAUAGAAGAUCAGUCUAGUCAGGCAAAACUUGCCUUUCAUAAACCUGUGCUGGCUGGUUUUGGUCACCUGAUUGUCCUGUAUGUGCUGUGAGGUGGCACUCAAGAUGAUCUACUCCAUGAUCUUCCCUGACAUCAAGGUCAGACUGACAGAUCUGUAAUUUCCUGG
ensembl:lncRNA